rnacentral:rRNA from 1 species
CUACGGGAGGCAGCAGUGGGGAAUCUUGCACAAUGGGCGAAAGCCUGAUGCAGCGAUGCCGCGUGCGGGAAGAAGGCCUUAGGGUUGUAAACCGCUUUCAGGAGGGAAGAAAAUGACGGUACCUCCAGAAGAAGGUGCGGCCAACUACGUGCCAGCAGCCGCGGUGACACGUAGGCACCAAGCGUUAUCCGGAUUUAUUGGGCGUAAAGAGCUCGUAGGCGGUUUGGUAAGUCGGGUGUGAAAACUCUGGGCUCAACCCAGAGAGGCCACUCGAUACUGCUAUGACUAGAGUACGGUAGGGGAGCGGGGAAUUCCUGGUGUAGCGGUGAAAUGCGCAGAUAUCAGGAGGAACACCAGCGGCGAAGGCGCCGCUCUGGGCCGUAACUGACGCUGAGGAGCGAAAGCAUGGGUAGCAAACAGGAUUAGAUACCCUGGUAGUCCAUGCCGUAAACGUUGGGCACUAGGUGUGGGUCUCAACCAACGAGAUCCGCGCCGUCGCUAACGCAUUAAGUGCCCCGCCUGGGGAGUACGGUCGCAAGACUAAAACUCAAAUGAAUUGACGG